GAUGAACGCUGGCGGCGUGCCUAACACAUGCAAGUAGAACGCUGAAGACUUUAGCUUGCUAAAGUUGGAAGAGUUGCGAACGGGUGAGUAACGCGUAGGUAACCUGCCUACUAGCGGGGGAUAACUAUUGGAAACGAUAGCUAAUACCGCAUAACAGCUUUUAACUCAUGUUAGGAGCUUGAAAGGUGCAAUUGCAUCACUAGUAGAUGGACCUGCGUUGUAUUAGCUAGUUGGUGAGGUAACGGCUCACCAAGGCGACGAUACAUAGCCGACCUGAGAGGGUGAUCGGCCACACUGGGACUGAGACACGGCCCAGACUCCUACGGGAGGCAGCAGUAGGGAAUCUUCGGCAAUGGGGGCAACCCUGACCGAGCAACGCCGCGUGAGUGAAGAAGGUUUUCGGAUCGUAAAGCUCUGUUGUAAGAGAAGAACGUGUGUGAGAGUGGAAAGUUCACACAGUGACGGUAACUUACCAGAAAGGGACGGCUAACUACGUGCCAGCCGCCGCAGUAA
rnacentral:rRNA from 1 species